rnacentral:rRNA from 1 species
UCAAACAGCUAUAUCACUCUGCAGCCCAAGACUGGUUACUCACUGAAGCUAAACAGGGCUGAGCCUGGUCAGUACCUGGAUGGGAGACAGCAUGGGGAAACUAGGCUGCUUUUGGAA